ACCCUCCAAAUUUCUUACCCAUCAGAACUGAACACUGGUCUGAGUGGUUAUGAAAGAAGGAAAAUUUGUAAACUUCACACUGACUUACAUUAUGUCUGACACACAAGCUACUUUCAAAUAGAC
rnacentral:snoRNA from 1 species